UACGUAGGUGGCGAGCGUUGUCCGGAUUUACUGGGCGUAAAGAGCGCGCAGGCGGUCGUGCAAGUCGCGUGUGAAAGCCCCCGGCUCAACUGGGGAGGGUCACUUGAUACUGAUCGACUCGAAGGCAGGAGAGGGAAGCGGAAUUCCCGGUGUAGUGGUGAAAUGCGUAGAUAUCGGGAGGAACACCAGUGGCGAAGGCGGCUUCCUGGCCUGUUCUUGACGCUGAGGCGCGAAAGCUAGGGGAGCAAACGGG
rnacentral:rRNA from 1 species